rnacentral:rRNA from 14 species
CUUAGAAGCAGCCACCAUUUAAAAAGUGCGUAAUAGCUUACUCAUCGAGUGAUCCUGCGCCGAAAAUAAUUGGCGAUAAGCGGUAUGCCGAAGCUCUGGGUGCGCAGUUUACUGCGUGCGGUAGAGGAGCGUUCUCAACGCGUUGAAGCCCGAAGGUGACUGACGGUGGAGUAUUGAGAAGUGAGCAUGUAGACAUGAGUAACGAUAAGGGAGGUGAAAUUCC